AGUUUGCUUUCUGUCUGUGAGUCUGUUUCUAAAACCCCAGUGUCUUGAUUGGUGCCCAAGGCCCUCCACUGUCUGAGACCCACCCACUGCUGGGCAGAUGUCCUGCCCCCUGUGCCCAGCUAGCCUCUCCUUUAACAGGUGCAGGUCUCUGAAAUCUCCAGGCCUGCGGGGAAACUCAAAGCCUCAGAGGCCACAGAUCCCAUAAGAGUGGGAGGUGGCAGAGCAGAUGACAGUAGGACACCUAUGACAGCAGACUGUUGGCCAUUGGUGUUUCCCUGCCAGGUCUCCCAAUGGCCGUGCUGGGUAGGGCCUUGCAGGGCUGUCCUGGAGGCUGUUCCAGGCUCAGUCCUGCCUCCAGGCCCUGGUCCAGGCUGGGCCCUCUCCUGCCAUGUCCUCCUCUCUUGUGCAUCUCCUGUCCUUUCCUCAGCACUUAACCUCCCAUGAAACUUCCUAAAAUACUCCAGGAAACAAAAGCUUGCCUCCUGCCGUACCCAAAACAAAUCUGUCCAAAACCGGAUUCAUCUUCCUUUUCCAAACUAGAGGAGUGCAGUAGCUCAUUUAACAGCAUCCUCACUUGUACUCAUCUGGAAAGCGCUGUUUGUCCUUGAUUUACAGGGAGUGAAUCUCCUGGCUGUGCAGUCAGUGUCUGGGUUCAAAUCUGUGACUUGGGUGACUGACUUAACCUCUCUGAGCCUCGGAUUCCUUAUCUGCGUCAGGGCCAAUAACAGGCCUUCCUCUCGGAGUCGGUGACGUUGGCCCAGCUGGCACCACGCUGGGCUUGCUAAGGACUCAGGUGAUCCCUGCUUGUCCUCCGUCUCCUGAAUUACCCCUACGGAGAAGUGCUUUUCUGUCAUGGAGUUCGUGCCCGAGCCUCACACCUCGGACAAGCGGGCUCCUAUUAGGAAUAUUAUUAGGGCCGAUUUCCCUGAACGUCCCAUCCUUCCCCUCCUCCCCAUGGGGCUGCACUGGCCCAGUGACCGGCUGCUGGGGCGGAGGAGACCUCCAGACACAAGACGAUAUGAAAGGGGGAAGAGAAAGAGUUCAUGUUCUGGGAAAACAAAGCAAAGAAAUGUCUAUGUUGAUAUUUGAGAUGGCCGGCAGCUCCCCUUCCCUCUGGGGAAAGAAAAGCCGGGCGAGGCUCCCUUUCCAGGCGGGUUGGGCCAGGCCCCACUUUCGAGGCCACAGCCCCACCUGGUGGUGCUGUCACCACAUGGUCACCUCUCUUGCUGGGGCCUGUCUGUCACUGUCCUCCUACUGACAAGAAUCUGCCCAUGAUUUCACCACCAAACACAGUAUCUGAUCUACUUCCUCUACAAUAAACUGUUGCCACUGGGAAGGUUCUGUUCAUUCCUGUCCCAACGAGACUUCCAUCUGGGGCAAAACAUUCUUUUCUAAAGGGGAAAUGCCAUUUCGGCAACAUAAAUCUGACACACCUUAUACUCGCCUGGAUUGUAGGGCAGCACCCAUUUCUCUAGGAUAAAAAAGUCACCUUCCAGGCUGAUACCUGCACAGGUAGCCUGCCUCCCUCUACGCAUCUCCUGCUUUCUCCUGUGCCCCCGCUGCUCCCCCUCAGCAUCCUGCUGCGGGUCUGGGCACCUGGCAGCCCCUCCUGGGAACGGUCUUCCCGUUCCUGGCGGGUUCGUCAGGUUCAUUCUGAGCUGCUUGGAUCCAAAUGCCACCUGUCUAAGGGAGGCCUUCACUCUGUGCCCUCAACGAUAAAAUCGUGAUCGUGUGUCCUCUCCCUUAUGACACUGGGAAGUGUCUUUGUCCCUUAUUUAUUAUCUGUGUCUCUCCCACCUACAACGUGAGCAUCCUUCAUGUUUCACGUUUGUGUUACUGGUCUUGUUCUCUGUUUUCCUGGCAGCAUAUAGUGCCUGGCUAUAGACACACUCCAUAACCGUUUGUUGAAUGAACUCAUUAAUUUAUCUUUCAAAACUGGGCUCCUCUGACAGCUCAGCAGCCGUUGCCUGUUCCAGGGCAAGGACCGGGGAACGAGAGGAAUGACGGUGAUUUUGCAGGAAGCAGCGAGAUAGAUCACUGAGUGUGUGGAUUGGCCUGUCUCGGAAGAGAUCACUGAGUUCCUCGUUAACUCACUGAGCAGGUCGCCUGGACCAGUGCGGCUGGGUCUCCCCUGUGCUGGGAAGAGACUCGCAUCCCUUUUCAGUAACCUUUCCAAGUGCCUUAGCUGUCACUGGGCCCUCCCUUCUCGUCUCUAACAUGGAGGUUGUGUGUGUGUGUGUGUGUGUGUGUGUGUGUGUGUGCGCGCGCGCGCACGAGCCGUGACUCUCACGCCCUCUGUGCAGGGUGAGGGGAGGAAGGGUAUUUUGUUGUGGACACUCCUGAGGCUAUUUUUGCUGCUUCGGAGACUGAAAGUGCCACAAAGAGGGCGGAGGAGCAGCGGGUAAACCCUCGCUGUUGUGCUUGCGCCGCUCUCCCGCAGAGCUCUCAGACCCUGUCCUGUUGGUGAGAAAAGGAAGGACAACCAUGGGAGAGAUUUCCGAGAGCCCGGUCUUCUGGUCUACACCCCCGUCCGUGCUGCCCUGCUGACCUGACAGCCUUCUUGGUCCUCACCCAUGGUGGCAGCGACAAUGACAGCCUGGUGACAGGCAGACAUGGAUUUUCUCCUAUCUCUUAAUUGUUCCAAAAUGUGCUGUGUCAAUACAAGUUAAUUGCUUAACUGUGCAACACCCUUCCACUCCUUCAGUUUCGUCGGCUUUAAUGAUUCAUUAAACCUGUUUUGCU